rnacentral:rRNA from 1 species
UGAGUAACCUGCCCUUCACUCUGGGAUAACUCCGGGAAACCGGGGCUAAUACUGGAUAUGACUCGAACAGGCAUCUGUUUCGGGUGGAAAGAUAUUUGGUGGAGGAUGGACUCGCGGCCUAUCAGCUUGUUGGUGAGGUAAUGGCUCACCAAGGCGACGACGGGUAGCCGGCCUGAGAGGGCGAUCGGCCACACUGGGACUGAGACACGGCCCAGACUCCUACGGGAGCA